UUUCGCUCUCUCUUUCCUCCUUUUUUCUAAAUGCUUCCAGAGAAAUAAGUAACUGUUGUAUUGAAAACUUGCAAACCCAUUCUGUGUUCCUGAGAUAUCUUUGCUAUGUUAUUAUUGAACUUGGGCUAUUCUUCAUGUAAAUGUUUUCAUGGUAGUGGAUCUUUACAUGAAUUAACUCACCUUCAAGAUGACUGAGAGCUGUUAGUACAUUCCCUCUCCUAGACACAGAAAAGACUUCUGUUUGUGAUCGCUUAUUCCCAUAUGACUGGUUUACUUAUUUGAACAUUUGGACCUUACUUUUCUGAGAAAGAAACUACUCUGGAGAGAAGUGGGAUGAUGAAUCGGUAUUACAUAGUUUCAAACAUGGGAAUAAGCAAGGUAAUAGCCUUUUCUGUCACUAGUAUUUAUUUAGAAAGUCACUUGGAGUUUUAUAGCCAACUUCUGCCAUACCUUCCAAAAGAUUAAAAAAAGAGGAAUCAUGGUAUGGGGUUCUUCCCCACAGAGACACUGCCUAUUCCUUUGGGUGUACUAAAUCUUAAAAUGAGUUCUCACUCCUGCAGUCCAACAGCUCCCGAGAUAUUUCUAGCAAUUUUCUGGGUGGCAGUUUACACUUAUCAAUGAUUGCUAUGAGAACUCAAAAGUGAGAAGAGCAUAAAAUUAGAGAAACAAGAAUUCUCUUCAUUGCUAGAUUGAUCAAUAACCUUAGGGACCAUAGCUUCAUGUCUUUUCUUCUCAAACACACAGAAGAUAUCAAGAAAAAGAUAAUAAAACCAAAAUGAAAACCAUGGGAGUUGUAAAAGUUUUUCAGAAUAGGAAUAAAUUACACCAUGACAUAUGGAGGCAAAAGUAUAGAGACUGCUGAAUUACAAGACACACAAACAGUUUCAAUGUGUUUAAGCAUGUCUCAAAAAUUUAAAGGAUCUCAUUAAACAAUGCUAGGUAACUUUCUUUCAAGUAGGUGUUAUUGGUAUUUAAAAAAGUAUCAAGAUAGUUGCUAGGGGGCAAACUAGCCUUUUGACAGAAACUGGC
rnacentral:lncRNA from 1 species